ACGAACGCUGGCGGCGUGGAUAAGACAUGCAAGUCGAACGCUGGCUUAAAGGUAGCAAUAUUUUUAAGUCGGAGUGGCGCAAGGGUGCGUAACACGUGGGCAAUCUACCGUGAAGUUGGGGAUAACUUGCCGAAAGGUAAGCUAAUACCGAAUGUGGCCUCUGAAGGGCAUCCUUUAGAGAUUAAAGCUGGGGACCGUAAGGCCUGGCGCUUCAUGAUGAGCCCGCGGCCUAUCAGCUUGUUGGUGAGGUAAAAGCUCACCAAGGCUAUGACGGGUAGCUGGUCUGAGAGGACGAUCAGUCACACUGGAACUGAGACACGGUCCAGACACCUACGGGUGGCAGCAGUCGAGAAUCUUUCUCAAUGGGCGAAAGCCUGAAGGAGCGACGCCGCGUGGGGGAUGAAUGGCUUCGGCCCGUAAACCCCUGUCAUUCGUGAACAAUGCCUGCGGAAUAACACUUCGCAGGUUGAUAGUACUGGAAGAGGAAGGGACGGCUAACUCUGUGCCAGCAGCCGCGGUAAUACAGAGGUCCCAAGCGUUGUUCGGAUUCACUGGGCGUAAAGGGUGCGUAGGUGGCAGGGUAAGUUUGAUGUGAAAUCUCCGGGCUCAACCCGGAAACUGCAUUGGAAACUGCCUUGCUAGAGGAUCGGAGGGGAAAUUGGAAUUCCCGGUGUAGCAGUGAAAUGCGUAGAUAUCGGGAGGAACACCAGUGGCGAAGGCGGAUUUCUGGACGAUACCUGACACUGAGGCACGAAAGCUGGGGGAGCAAACAGGAUUAGAUACCCUGGUAGUCCCAGCCGUAAACGGUGCGUACUUGCUGUAGGAGGAAUCGACCCCUUCUGUGGCGGAGCUAACGCGUUAAGUACGCCGCCUGGGGAGUACGGCCGCAAGGUUAAAACUCAAAGAAAUUGACGGGGGCCUGCACAAGCGGUGGAGUAUGUGGCUUAAUUCGAUGCAACGCGAAGAACCUUACCUGGCCUUGACAAGCAAGUGGUAGGAACCUGAAAGGGUGACGAGGUAGCCGGAGCAAUUUGCACAGGUGCUGCAUGGCUGUCGUCAGCUCGUGUCGUGAGAUGUUGGGUUAAGUCCCGCAACGAGCGCAACCCUUGUGUCCUGUUGCCACUCGAACUUCGGUUCGGAGCACUCUGGACAGACUGCCUGGUUCCAACCAGGAGGAAGGUGGGGAUGACGUCAAGUCAGUAUGGCCCUUACGGCCAGGGCUGCACACGUACUACAAUGCCCGGCACAGAGGGAAGCAAGACCGCAAGGUGGAGCAAAUCCCUAAAAACCGGGCUCAGUUCGGAUUGUCGUCUGCAACUCGACGGCAUGAAGCUGGAAUCGCUAGUAAUGGCGCAUCAGCUACGGCGCCGUGAUACGUUCCCAGGCAUUGCAC
rnacentral:rRNA from 1 species